rnacentral:rRNA from 1 species
UACGUAGGGUGCGAGCGUUAUUCGGAAUUACUGGGCGUAAAGCGUGCGCAGGCGGUUCUCCAAGUCCGUUGUGAAAGCCCCGGGCUCAACCUGGGAAUGGCAGUGGAAACUAGGGGACUGGAAUCUGGCAGAGGGGGGUGGAAUGCCGCGUGUAGCAGUGAAAUGCGUAGAGAUGCGGCGGAACACCGAUGGCGAAGGCAGCCCCCUGGGCUGAGAUUGACGCUCAGGCACGAAAGCGUGGGGAGCAAACAGG